AUCGACAUGGUCACAAAUAUCUUGGGCUUCGACGUGUAUCAUGAUCUCUCCCUUAGCCAUGAAGAUAAUGACUCAUCCUGAAGGUUAAUUUAAUCAGAUUUGCAUGUGCCGUCUCUUUCACAGGUUUUAGAGCAAUGUUCUCGUGGAGAAAUUUAUCAGUCACACUACUGCAAGAGCAGCUGCAUCUGCAGGAACCAUAAGCUGGCAUGCACUCUCAGGGUUCUACUGAAAAUUGAUCACGACAACCAUGACCAUGAAGAUAUACCUCCAGGAAUUUCAUUGACCUGGGCUUUAGUCUGUGAUGUGGAAACACACUAUAUUGCUUUGCAACGUAGCAAGAUCUCUUUCCUAAUGCAGUCCUCCCCCAUGGUCCAGCGCCGGUUCCAACAAGAGGGUUGCAACCCUGCCCUUCCGGCGUUUGGGGAGGAUCGAGGGUCGCCCCUCCGCCCUCUCGGACUCCUCCAGACUGCUGUGACGACGUGGACUGCAACGAGCCCUGGUCUGGACGCCCGCGCGCAUGCCAUUUUCCCCAUGUGUAUGCAUGUAUGCUGCAUCCAAGGUCGAUAAGGAGUCAUGAGCUCCCUGCUGUCGUUUGGUUUCUGAGGUAUCAUGAAUGCAAGCAACUCAGCCUCUACGCAUCUUUAGAACUGCAUUCCCGAGGCAGGCGAGAUGCUGGCUGAAGGGGCUUCGAAGGCUUGAAGCUUUAAUCUUAAGGGAGGAGGGUCCGGUGGUGAUGGGGGAAUGCUUCUCUGCUUGGACAAGAUAUUUACAUGUCCUUUAACGUGUAUGAUAUAUGUAUAAUACUAUAUAAAUAUGAAUAUUUUGAAUAGAGUGUUGAAGUCUAAGCACAAUGUUGUAGUUCCAUUCAUUCUAUUUAUGUGAGGUCACUUUUCCUA